rnacentral:rRNA from 1 species
CUAAGGCUCCAGAGGAAGCCACGGCUAACUCUGUGCCAGCAGCCGCGGUAAUACAGAGGCGGCAAGCGUUGUUCGGAAUUAUUGGGCGUAAAGAGCACGUAGGCGGCCUUGCAAGUCAGUCGUGAAAGCCUUCCGCUUAACGGAAGAAUGCCAGCUGAUACUACAGGGCUUGAGUACGGGAGGGGAGAGUGGAACUUCUGGUGGAGCGGUGAAGUGCGUAGAUAUCAGAAGGAACGUCGGCGGCGAAAGCGACUCUCUGGCCUAUUACUGACACUGAGUGUGCGAAAGUUAGGGGAGCAAGCGGGAUUAGAUACCCCGGUAGUCCUAGCCGUAAA